UGGAUUCGAACUGAGACCUCACGUUAAAACAAUAUCAGUCGUUCCAUUUUCUUCAGCAUAAAAAAGUAAUCACGUUUCAGCCGUUCCCUUUCAUCAGCGUAAAAGAAAAUUACUUUGGUUCGGUGCUGAAACAAAUAUCAAGUGGAAAAUCAAAGCGCUAAAUGUGAAAAUUCUUCCCUCCCAAACUCAUCAAAAUCUCCAUCGUAUGAUUUUUCAGAAGCUGAAACAAAGAUUGUCCAGUGUAUCUUCUACCAAAUCGCAACCCUAACCCUUUCUUCCUUUCUCCUUCUUCUCAAACCCUUCAAGUUGCAACUCAGAAUUAGGAUUUUAGGGUUUCAUGGAAUCAUCUCAAUCGAAGCUUUGAAGUAAGUCUCUCGACGACGACAUUGAUUCCCCUAAGAGCUACAAGGGUCAUAGCACGUUGUGAACGAAAACUCUAAUAUAAAUGAUUUUUCACUUCAAGCUUUUAUGGUUCAUCGAUUCGCGGCCCAGACUCCUCCAAGCCAAUUACUGCUGCAGAUGUCCAUCAGUUUUUUGAUGAUGUUAAGAAUAAGCAUCGCCGUAUAAACAGGUGCAGCAGAAACCCCACACUUGAAGUACACAAUUAGUCACCUGGCCAGUGAUUCUUAGUUUGAAACUUCUUCUCUCCAUUUAUAAACACAAUCGCUUAUGAUAUGAGUUAUGAAGUUUGCUUUGUGUUUGUUUAAUUGAAGAUUUAGGAAUUUUUUUCUUCCAAAAAUACAGAUAAAAAUCAUGAUUGAUUGUAGUUUUGGACGUGAAUAAAGUCUAAGCAAGGUUCACAUGAUGUUACUUUGUUGAAUUUUGAAAUAUUGAUUGUAAUUUUGGACUCAUUAAAAUAUGUUUUUAAUUUAUCUAUAUUGUAUCUUU